GGCUCAGAUUGAACGCUGGCGGCAGGCCUAACACAUGCAAGUCGAACGGUAACAGGAAGCAGCUUGCUGCUUUGCUGACGAGUGGCGGACGGGUGAGUAAUGUCUGGGAAACUGCCUGAUGGAGGGGGAUAACUACUGGAAACGGUGGCUAAUACCGCAUAACGUCGCAAGACCAAAGAGGGGGACCUUCGGGCCUCUUGCCAUCAGAUGUGCCCAGAUGGGAUUAGCUUGUUGGUGAGGUAACGGCUCACCAAGGCGACGAUCCCUAGCUGGUCUGAGAGGAUGACCAGCCACACUGGAACUGAGACACGGUCCUGACUCCUACGGGAGGCAGCAGUGGGGAAUAUUGCACAAUGGGCGCAAGCCUGAUGCAGCCAUGCCGCGUGUAUGAAGAAGGCCUUCGGGUUGUAAAGUACUUUCAGCGGGGAGGAAGGUGUUGCGGUUAAUAACCGCAGCAAUUGACGUUACCCGCAGAAGAAGCACCGGCUAACUCCGUGCCAGCAGCCGCGGUAAUACGGAGGGUGCAAGCGUUAAUCGGAAUUACUGGGCGUAAAGCGCACGCAGGCGGUCUGUCAAGUCGGAUGUGAAAUCCCCGGGCUCAACCUGGGAACUGCAUUCGAAACUGGCAGGCUUGAGUCUUGUAGAGGGGGGUAGAAUUCCAGGUGUAGCGGUGAAAUGCGUAGAGAUCUGGAGGAAUACCGGUGGCGAAGGCGGCCCCCUGGACAAAGACUGACGCUCAGGUGCGAAAGCGUGGGGAGCAAACAGGAUUAGAUACCCUGGUAGUCCACGCCGUAAACGAUGUCUACUUGGAGGUUGUGCCCUUGAGGCGUGGCUUCCGGAGCUAACGCGUUAAGUAGACCGCCUGGGGAGUACGGCCGCAAGGUUAAAACUCAAAUGGAUUGACGGGGGCCCGCACAAGCGGUGGAGCAUGUGGUUUAAUUCGAUGCAACGCGAAGAACCUUACCUGGUCUUGACAUCCACAGAAGAAUCCAGAGAUGGAUUUGUGCCUUCGGGAACUGUGAGACAGGUGCUGCAUGGCUGUCGUCAGCUCGUGUUGUGAAAUGUUGGGUUAAGUCCCGCAACGAGCGCAACCCUUAUCCUUUGUUGCCAGCGAUUAGGUCGGGAACUCAAAGGAGACUGCCAGUGAUAAACUGGAGGAAGGUGGGGAUGACGUCAAGUCAUCAUGGCCCUUACGACCAGGGCUACACACGUGCUACAAUGGCGCAUACAAAGAGAAGCGACCUCGCGAGAGCAAGCGGACCUCAUAAAGUGCGUCGUAGUCCGGAUUGGAGUCUGCAACUCGACUCCAUGAAGUCGGAAUCGCUAGUAAUCGUGGAUCAGAAUGCCACGGUGAAUACGUUCCCGGGCCUUGUACACACCGCCCGUCACACCAUGGGAGUGGGUUGCAAAAGAAGUAGGUAGCUUAACCUUCGGGAGGGCGCUUACCACUUUGUGAUUCAUGACUGGGGUGAAGUCGUAACAAGGU
rnacentral:rRNA from 1 species